rnacentral:rRNA from 1 species
UGAGGAAUAUUGGGCAAUGCCCGCAAGGGUGACCCAGCAACGCCGCGUGGAGGAUGAAUGUCGUAAGAUUGUAAACUCCUGUUAGAGGAGAGGAAUAGUACCGGUUGGACCGGUAUAUGACUGUACCCUCAGAGAAAGCCCCGGCUAACUACGUGCCAGCAGCCGCGGUAAUACGGAGGGUGCAAGCGUUAUCCGGAAUCAUUGGGUUUAAAGGGUCCGCAGGCGGAUAUAUAAGUCAGUGGUGAAAUCCUGCAGCUUAACUGCAGAACUGCCAUUGAUACUGUAUAUCUUGAAUUGAGUGGGAGUCGGCGGAAUAUGACAUGUAGCGGUGAAAUGCAUAGAUAUGUCAUAGAACACCGAAAGCGAAGGCAGCUCACUAUACUUAAAUUGACGCUCAUGGACGAAAGCGUGGGGAGCAAACA